rnacentral:rRNA from 1 species
AUUCCAGCUCCAUUAGCGUAUAUUAAAGUUGUUGCAGUUAAAAAGCUCGUAGUUGGAUUUGUGGUUGGAGCGGUCGGCCCGACACUCUGUGUGGGUGCUUGACUGUCUCCGUCCAUCCUUGGGUGGAAUCUGUGUGGCAUUAAGUUGUCGUGCAGGGGAUGCCCAUCUUUUACUGUGAAAAAAUUAGAGUGUUCAAAGCAGGCUUACGCCGUUGAAUAUAUUAGCAUGGAAUAAUGAGAUAGGACCUUGGUACUAUUUUGUUGGUUUGCGCACCGAGGUAAUGAUUAAUAGGAACAGUUGGGGCCGUUCGUAUUCCAUUGUCAGAGGUGAAAUUCUUGGAUUUCUGGAAGACGAACUACUGCGAAAGCAUUCGGCAAGGAUGUUUUCAUCA